rnacentral:rRNA from 1 species
UACGUAGGUGGCAAGCGUUGUCCGGAUUUACUGGGCGUAAAGAGCGCGCAGGCGGUCGUUCAAGUCGCGUGUGAAAGCCCCCGGCUCAACUGGGGAGGGUCACGCGAUACUGAUCGACUCGAAGGCAGGAGAGGGUAGUGGAAUUCCCGGUGUAGUGGUGAAAUGCGUAGAUAUCGGGAGGAACACCAGUGGCGAAGGCGGGACUCUGGGCCGAUACUGACGCUGAUGCGCGAAAGCGUGGGGAGCAAACAGG